rnacentral:rRNA from 1 species
UACGUAGGGGGCUAGCGUUGUCCGGAAUCAUUGGGCGUAAAGCGCGUGUAGGCGGUCCGGUAAGUCCGCUGUGAAAGUCGAGGGCUCAACCCUCGAAAGCCGGUGGAUACUGUCGGGCUAGAGUCCGGAAGAGGCGAGUGGAACUCCUGGUGUAGCGGUGGAAUGCGCAGAUAUCAGGAAGAACACCAACGGCGAAGGCAGCUCGCUGGGACGGUACUGACGCUGAGACGCGAAAGCGUGGGGAGCGAACAGG